rnacentral:tRNA from 1 species
ACCCUCGUAGCUCAGUGGAUAGAGCAUCCCUCUCCUAAGGGGAGGGUCACAGGUUCAACUCCUGUCGAGGGCGCCA